GGAGGCUGGCAGGGCGUUUGUGUCACCCAGGGCUCUGAGGCAGGAGGAGCAUCCCCGUGCAGCACAGGAGGAUGACACACAUCCCUGUUGCCAUGGCUACCGUGGGGAGAGGGGCCUGGCAGGGACCAAUGGCCUUCUCCAGGCUGGCACUGCCACCGAGGGGAGGGCAAAACCCUCCCAGACAUCUCGGCUGAGCACAAGCACCGACAUUUACACACGAGGGCUCGGUGCAGCACUCUAGUAAUGGAUAAAGCAGGAGGUGGCAAGAAGCUCCAGGUUGCCCAUUUCAGAUGCAAAUCCUUCCUGAGGCCCAAUAGAGUUUAGUAAAGACAGCAAAAAAGAAGAAACAAGAAGUUUCCAGGAUCCUCUUUGAGAAUCCUGAGGCACAUUGGUGUCCUUAAUCCACCCCGCUGCAGGGAUUAAGGGUGGCGAAGACAAAACAAUCCCCUUCCAGCUGGAGACUCAAGGACAAUCUCUUCAAACUUCAGGCCCAAAGCUUGAACAAUGUGAAAAGAGGAGGGCGGGCAAGCAAGCAAGGAGGAUGAAACUUCAUCAUUUGGAGCUAUUAAUUGGGCAGUUGGCUCCUGUGUGCAAAUGGACUAAAACUUAUAAAAAUGCGAGAUCUCGUGACCAAGCCCUCUUUUGCUUCCAUCUUGGAGCCAUCUGGGCACUGCCAGGGUGUGGCCUUUGAAGGCUUUUCAAUAAAU